UCCGGAGGGUGCAAGCGUUAUUCGGAUUUACUGGGUUUAAAGGGUGCGUAGGCGGGCAUGUAAGUCAGUGGUGAAAUACCGGAGCUUAACUUCGGAACUGCCAUUGAUACUAUAUGUCUUGAAUAUUGUGGAGGUAAGCGGAAUAUGUCAUGUAGCGGUGAAAUGCAUAGAUAUGACAUAGAACACCGAUUGCGGAGGCAGCUUGCUACGCAAAUAUUGACGCUGAGGCACGAAAGCGUGGGGAGAAAACAGG
rnacentral:rRNA from 1 species